GAUGAACGCUGGCGGCGUGCCUAAUACAUGCAAGUCGAGCGAACAGAUGAGGAGCUUGCUCCUCUGACGUUAGCGGCGGACGGGUGAGUAACACGUGGGUAACCUACCUAUAAGACUGGGAUAACUUCGGGAAACCGGAGCUAAUACCGGAUAAUAUAUGGAACCGCAUGGUUCUAUAGUGAAAGACGGUUUUGCUAUCACUUAUAGAUGGAUCCGCGCCGCAUUAGCUAGUUGGUAAGGUAACGGCUUACCAAGGCGACGAUACGUAGCCGACCUGAGAGGGGGAUCGGCCACACUGGAACCUAGGCACGGUCCAAACUCCUUAGGGGGGGAAGCGGAAGGGAAUUUUCGGCAAGGGGGAAAGGCUUGCGGGGGAAAGGCGGGUGAGGUGAGAAAGGUUUUCGGUUGUUAAACCCCUGUAAUUAGGAAAGAAAAAAUGGGAAGUAACUGAGGACGGCCUGGAGGGUACUUAUCAAAAAAGCACCGGUAAAUUCCUU
rnacentral:rRNA from 1 species